rnacentral:rRNA from 1 species
UUAUACAUGCCCUACAAGCAAGUAGGAGUCAGGUUUUAAACCUAAUGGCUCUUUCAUGAUUAUAUGAUAGGUGGUGCAUGGCCGUUCUUAGUUCGUGGAGUUAUCUGUCUGCUUAAUUGCGUUUCAAAUUUUUAACCGAGGACCGGGUUUUGGUUUGGCUAGUGGUCCUACGAUGACUGUGAACUGUCAUGUCUUCGGAUGUACGACUAUCGGUCUAGGAUCACAUGACUUGCCCCUGGGACUCUUUUGAACGCAACGGACGUGAUUGUAACCCCUUGUUGAGAUUAGAGAUAGUCUCGAUAUUCACUGGCCAAAGUGGCUGCUUUAUGCAGUCUUGUUGAAUGGUGGAUAAACUCGGGGGACUGCUGACUAU